rnacentral:rRNA from 1 species
AUUGAACGCUGGCGGCAUGCCUUACACAUGCAAGUCGAACGGCAGCACGGGUGCUUGCACCUGGUGGCGAGUGGCGAACGGGUGAGUAAUACAUCGGAACGUACCUUAUCGUGGGGGAUAACGCAGCGAAAGUUGCGCUAAUACCGCAUACGCCCUGAGGGGGAAAGCGGGGGACCGUAAGGCCUCGCGCGAUUAGAGCGGCCGAUGUCUGAUUAGCUUGUUGGUGAGGUAAAAGCUCACCAAGGCGGUGAUCAGUAGCUGGUCUGAGAGGACGAUCAGCCACACGGGGACUGAGACACGGCCCAGACUCCUACGGGAGGCAGCAGUGGGGAAUUUUGGACAAUGGGGGCAACCCUGAUCCAGCAAUGCCGCGUGGGUGAAGAAGGCCUUCGGGUUGUAAAGCUCUUUUGUCAGGGAAGAAACAGCAGCUCUAACACAGUCUGCGAAUGACGGUACCUGAAGAAUAAGCACCGGCUAACUACGUGCCAGCCGCCGCAGUAA